GUACUUGCUUCAGUAGCACAUAAACUAAAAUUGGAUUAAUACAGAGAUUAGUGUAGCCCCUGUGCAAGGCUGACAUGAAAAUUCAUCAGGCAUUCUAUAUUUUU